UUGGUUAAGUUAGAAAGGGCGCACGGUGGAUGCCUUGGCACUAGGAGCCGAAGAAGGACGGGACUAACACCGAUAUGCUUUGGGGAGCUGUACGUAAGCGUUGAUCCAGAGAUUUCCGAAUGGGGGAACCCACUAUCUUUAGUCGGAUAGUAUCCUUACGUGAAUACAUAGCGUGAGGAAGGCAGACCCAGGGAACUGAAACAUCUAAGUACCUGGAGGAAGAGAAAGAAAAAUCGAUUUCCUGAGUAGCGGCGAGCGAAACGGAAAGAGCCCAAACCAAGAAGCUUGCUUCUUGGGGUUGUAGGACACUCUAUACGGAGUUACAAAAGAAAGUUAUAAAUGAAGCGGUCUGGAAAGGCCCGCCAAAGACGGUAACAGCCCGGUAGUUGAAAUGGCUUUCCCUCCAGAGUGGAUCCUGAGUACGGCGGAACACGUGAAAUUCCGUCGGAAUCCGGGAGGACCAUCUCCCAAGGCUAAAUACUCCCUAGUGACCGAUAGUGAACCAGUACCGUGAGGGAAAGGUGAAAAGCACCCCGGAAGGGGAGUGAAACAGUUCCUGAAACCGUGUGCCUACAAGUAGUUAGAGCCCGUUAAUGGGUGAUAGCGUGCCUUUUGUAGAAUGAACCGGCGAGUUACGAUUUGUUGCAAGGUUAAGCGGAAAAAGCGGAGCCGUAGCGAAAGCGAGUCUGAAUAGGGCGCAUAAGUAACAGGUCGUAGACCCGAAACCAGGUGAUCUACCCAUGUCCAGGAUGAAGGUAAGGUAAUACUUACUGGAGGUCCGAACCCACGCACGUUGAAAAGUGCGGGGAUGAGGUGUGGGUAGCGGAGAAAUUCCAAUCGAACUUGGAGAUAGCUGGUUCUCUCCGAAAUAGCUUUAGGGCUAGCCUCGAGGUAAAGAGUCAUGGAGGUAGAGCACUGUUUGGACUAGGGGCCCUUCUCGGGUUACCGAAUUCAGAUAAACUCCGAAUGCCAUGUACUUA
rnacentral:rRNA from 1 species